CCUUGAUCGACACUACCUCCCUCAGCCUGAAGGACUGGAGCAUAGUACACCAGACUCCUUCCAUUGUCUUCCCUUCUAGAUAGCAGAAAUUGGUGCCCUGCCGCCCUGCCUGGUUCCAACUCCAUGAAACGAGAAGCCCUCUGGCCAGGUAACCCCUGUGUUGCUCUCGGCCAACAAUAUAUGAUCAAGUAAGGAAAAAAAAUGCUGAAAAGGGAGAAUGGAAAGAAGACACCAAUGCAGUAGUUUCUAACCUUUUUUGUGCCAUGGACCCUCUGACAGUCUGGGGAUGCCUAUGGACAUCUUCUCAGAAUCAUGUUACAGUGUGGGGAAACUGAAGCUUAAAGCACUUGGAGAAGUGAUUUGUCCAAAGUAACCUAGCAAGUCAAUGGUGAGACCAGAAUUAAAAGCCAAGUCUGCCUCCUUGCAAUCCAGUAUUCUGUCCUCCAAACCACAUCUCCCCAUAUUUUCCCAAGGUGUCCUUUCUCAUUUCAUCCAGUUGGUUUGUGUUUAUAAGUACAUUCUGGCAUCCACUUGUGCGUUUUUCCAGAUGUUCCUCCCAGCUCGUUGGCUGAUGUUCCAUUCUGUGUACUGUAUGAUGUAUUUUAAUCCUCUUCUCCUGUCUCUGUUCUGUGGAUGAUCUAGGCAUGGGAGAACCAAUAAAGAUCUUAAAACUCUCA